UUAGGGCACGACACCGGAGAGGGAGCCUGAGAAACGGCUACCACAUCCAAGGAAGGCAGCAGGCGCGCAAAUUACCCAAUCCCGACAUGGGGAGGUAGUGACAAUAAAUAACAAUACAGGGUUCUUUUGGAUCUUGUAAUUGGAAUGAGUACAAUUUAAAUCUCUUAACGAGGAACAAUUGGAGGGCAAGUCUGGUGCCAGCAGCCGCGGUAAUUCCAGCUCCAAUAGCGUAUAUUAAAGUUGUUGCAGUUAAAAAGCUCGUAGUUGAAUUUCGGGAUCAAGGAAUCGGUCAUGCCUUGGUAUGUACUGGUUUUAUUGGUUCUCACCUUCUAAAGAACCAUAAUGUCAUUUAUUUGAUGUUAUGGGGAAUUAGGACUGUUACCUUGAAAAAAUUAGAGUGUUUAAAGCAAGCUUACGCUUGAAUACAUUAGCAUGGAAUAAUGAAAUAGGACAUCAGAUUCUAUUUUGUUGGUUUCUAGGAUCGAUGUAAUGAUUAAUAGGGAUAGUUGGGGGCAUUAGUAUUCAAUUGUCAGAGGUGAAAUUCUUGGAUUUAUUGAAGACUAACUACUGCGAAAGCAUUUGCCAAGGAUGUUUUCAUUAAUCAAGAACGAAAGUUAGGGGAUCGAAGACGAUCAGAUACCGUCGUAGUCUUAACCAUAAACUAUGCCGACUAGGGAUCGGAUGAUGUUAAUUUUUUAAUGACUCAUUCGGCACCUUACG
rnacentral:rRNA from 1 species